rnacentral:rRNA from 1 species
GACGAACGCUGGCGGCGUGCCUAAUACAUGCAAGUAGAACGCUGAAGAGAGGAGCUUGCUCUUCUUGGAUGAGUUGCGAACGGGUGAGUAACGCGUAGGUAACCUGCCUUGUAGCGGGGGAUAACUAUUGGAAACGAUAGCUAAUACCGCAUAACAAUGGAUGACACAUGUCAUUUAUUUGAAAGGGGCAAUUGCUCCACUACAAGAUGGACCUGCGUUGUAUUAGCUAGUAGGUGAGGUAAUGGCUCACCUAGGCGACGAUACAUAGCCGACCUGAGAGGGUGAUCGGCCACACUGGGACUGAGACACGGCCCAGACUCCUACGGGAGGCAGCAGUAGGGAAUCUUCGGCAAUGGGGGCAACCCUGAGCGAGCAACGCCGCGUGAGUGAAGAAGGUUUUCGGAUCGUAAAGCUCGGUUGUAAGUCAAGAACGGGUGUGAGAGUGGAAAGUUCACACUGUGACGGUAGCUUACCAGAAAGGGACGGCUAACUACGUG